UGGCUUGAAGAAAUUCCAGCAAUUUUUAUUGAUUUCAGCUUUUCCAAUGAAGCAAAUACAUACAGUACAGCCAAAACACAACUCUGAUACAUUAUUCUCACAUACCUAUAUCUUACAGAAUACACUGUAUAGCUAUGGACUGGCAGGCUCGGGUGGUCUCAAACUGCUGUGUGGUCAGAGAGGAAUAAAACUGCCUUCUGCCUUCCACGCAGUCCAUGAGGCUUCUGAAAUGCUGGGGUGGGUUGGAUUGUACAUACAUGAAACAAACAAAGCAUUUAAGAGGAAACAGGCCAAAAAGCUCUGCUAAGCCCAGGACAAACAAGUGUGGUAUUUAUUUACAUGGCUGUGUGUCCUGCGCACAAAUCAAGCCCCAAUUGCUCUUAUUCUGCUGCUGGCAGAGAUCAGGGUGCUGCUCGCUGUGGUCCUUCCCUCCUCAGUAGUUCUCCAUCACUCCAACCCACGUCCUGCAGACCUGCCCCAGCUGUAGCCCUGCAGAUCCGCCCUGCCUUGCCUUUUACACAGGGGAAAAACAGGAGAACAGCUCAGCAAGGAGCACGUUGCAGCUGAAGACAUGCCUCUAUGAAGCAGUGCCUCCCUGGAAGGAAGAACACCAGUGGAAAAAGGUGAGAGCAGCAUCCCGGUGCUGAGCUCUGCCCCCGGGAGAAGUGUGGUUUGGAAAAGAAGGUCCCCAGACUGCUGGGUAUGAGCAACACCAGAGGUUUUCCUUACACUGCCAGACAUCAGCGUCACUUCACCUACGUGGGUAGAGUCUGUAGUCCAGAUUUAACACAGAGAGACUGAGAGGGAAAUAGAGAGGAGUAUCAGAGAGUUUCCUUGGGGGGAAAAAAGAGUUGCAAAGAGCCCAGGGGUGUCAGCGGGGCGGCAGCUCAGCCCGGCUCUCCUACAUUAGCUGUAUUCUGAGGUAUGAGAGCAGCAACCUGCAGCAUUGUAGGGAAAUUGAGGCUGGAGGGAGCUCCCAGCUCAGGGCAGGGAAAGCAUCCAGGGCUGUGCACAGCCAACAGCUGAAGAUCAACUUCGCUGCAGGAGAGUUGGACCAGAAGACCUUCAAAGGCCCUUUCAGCUGCAAUAAUUCCAUGAUUCCAUAUGAGAUCUCCAAGGAUGGAGACAGGUUUUAUUUGUGUCGCCUGGUCGGCUUUGCUGUACAUCACUAACACUGAUGGGAAUGAUGCAUCCAACCUCUGAGCUCAGUGCUUUGUAACAAAACCUGCAAUACUUGUAAACUUAAUAGUGGGAUGAUGACUGCAGCUCCUGGUGCCCAACACAGCACUGCUGUGAAUUGCAUUACGGGUGAAAGCAGCGGCGCUGUCUUAAAAUAAAGCUCAAACAACAGCCAAUUAGAAUGAAUUUCCUCCAUAUUCCAUCAUUACAUUUUGCAGUUAGCUUUCCCAAUUAAUUUCACAGGGAAAAACGUUAGCUCCCAGGACUUCUGCCUACUGUGUAAUUACAGGAACUAAUCUGAAUGCAAAACUGCACGCAACGUAAUUCUAAAGCAAAACUGCAACAGCCCUUCCUGCGGACACUGCAGCCUUUCUGGAUGCCCAUAGACUUGAGUCCUGCCAAAAACAUUCUGAACCAUGAAAUGAGGACGUAUGAGGCUAUGCAACAGCUGGCAGCCGUGGUGAGGGCAUGCCCACAGGCCUGGGCUCCUCCGCUGCUGUUUAAAUGCUCCUGAAACUGCCCUACCGGAUUCGCCUGGUUCCAGCUCUCCACUUCAAAGGUGCUUUUUGCUCUUUCAUUUGGCUGGGAGCUGCGCACAGAAAGCUCUCGACUGAAUGUGGGUGAAUGCAAGCAAAUAGCUGCUGCUCAUUAAAGUGCACAAGGCUGAGCCACCCUUUGUAGACCAAGAGAAAAGCGGCCGGCACCCCUCUCGCUCUGCUCCAUGCGCUCUGAGCAGGGAUGAUGCUACCCAGAGCAGAGCUGGGGUCAGGCCUGCCAGGUCAAUGGGACGUGCCAGCUGUCACCAAGCGAGGAGCUGAACCCUGCAAACAUGAGACUGCUUCUCCCUGCCCAGACCCAUCUCAGUAACCCACCCUUCCCAAACACCUCCACAUCUGCACACCUCUGUGCCCCCACAACGCAUCCUCUGCUGAUCCUCCCCCUGCAGCUCCGAGCUCACAUUUCUCACAUGCUAUUCCAUCUUCGCUAUUUCUUUACGUUGCUUGGCACAAACAAAGCGUGAUGACAAAGGCCAAAUUUCUCCACGCACCGUCCCAUGAUUGCAUUGUUUCAGUGCCCGGUGACUGAUUUGGCACCUGGUAAGACCACGCUCUGUGUUAGCACUGUCCAUACAGCUUCAGAGAGCAGUUGCUGAGUGCCAGGGGGGAAUCAGCAGCCAACCAUUUGCUUCUGGAGAUAAAGAGUUCAGGUGACAGGAAAGGAGAUACUAAUAACUAUGAGAGCUCAUAGGAGAAAAAGAAUCAGAAGCAGGAAAGAAGCCCAUGUUCAUAAAUGUUAGGAAGAAGCAGCCUUGGUAAAGAAGAGCAUCGUGUGUAUCUGUUGAUAACAGCCAUAUGCAACGUGGGGACAACAUCAAACUGGCAACUUUGGCACUUGUGGGUGAAAAUAGGUUGUGACAGGAAUUUGGCGUGGCAGCAUUUGUUGCGUGGAUCGGGUGGGAUCUGUCGGCUGAAGCUGCACAGCUGACACCGAGUUGUGGUGGGGCCUCAGCCCUACCCGCCAGCUGUGCGCUGGCCGCGCACACACAGCAAUGCGGGCACGGUUACACAGACACACUCUUUGCAAAAAAAAAAACAUAAUAAAAAUAUUGACAUCAGGAAAAUAUAACCUCGAUAAAAGUCCCUUCUCCCCCCUCCCCUAAAAAGAAGAAAAUGCUUAAAAAUAUCAGUAUGAUCCACAUGAAAUCCAUAUGUUUGGCUUGCUUUACAGUUGAGUUUAACUCACGAACACUCUACAUCUUUAACAUCCUAAGUAACUGUGAACGGGUUGUGUUCCUGGAGAUGAACCAGUUCCAAACUCUGAAAAACAAAGAGAUACCCAUUCAAGCACUGAAGAUAUCGUUUCUUUUCAUUCAUGCUCAACUUUCAGCCUUCCCCCAUCCCCAGUUUCUGUC
rnacentral:lncRNA from 1 species